rnacentral:lncRNA from 1 species
CUCUAUUUUUAAAGUUUGAUUUCAAAAAUCAAAAUUAUAGUUUAAACAUACAAAAGUCAUAUCAUAAUACAAUAUUUUUAAUAUUAAAUAAUAAUAUUUAUAAAAUUCAAUUAAUUAUAUACCCAAACCCCAAACCCUAAUAUUAAUUUCAUUCCUCAUUCUCAAUCCAUUCUCUCUCUAAUCUACUCUACCUCUUCUUCUCUCUACUUCACCAUCGUCGUCAGACGCCACCGUCGAUGGGGCUUCUCUACAUAAUGUCACACGUCAAAGCCACUUGUAGCAUCAACAAGGCUUCUCUGCUUCAGCGCUGACCAUAGUGACAUCAUCAUCGCUGCGUAAAGACGUCGCACGCUGAGGCGCCUCGCUUAGUGAAUGGUUGUGGCGGCGGGUUACAUGUUUUGGCCGUGGUUUUAUUGUGGAGAUGGUGAUGGAUCUAGUGGUGGUGGAUCUGGGUUUUGUUGGGUCGAUGGUAGAUCUAGUGGGAUGGAUCUAACAGUGGCGAUAUCUUUGUUAGAUUUGAUGGUGGUAGUUACGGUGCUAAUGGCUGUGAUUUUAUUACACUUGGCGGUAUUUCUUGUUGAUAUAGGCGGCAGUGGUGGUGCCCUUGUCCCAGAUUUAGGAAUUUUUUGGUAUGGGUUGUGGAUGUAGAAUGAUAGGCUGGUGGCAGCGGCGACGUCGACGUCGACAAUGGUGUAAUUGUAUCAUUGGUGGAAUGGGGUGGGGAAUGGGAAGUAUUUGUGACCAAUUGUUUAGUCAAUUGUAACCAUAAAUAAUUUAUAACCAAUAGAUUGAUUAAUUUAUGAUCAAUAAAUAAUAUGUUACAUAAAAUAUGUGAUUGUGACUCACAAUUUACUAAGUUGGGAUAGAUUCAUUUGAUAAUUUGGG